rnacentral:rRNA from 1 species
GAUGAACGCUGGCGGCGUGCCUAAUACAUGCAAGUCGAGCGAACAGACGAGGAGCUUGCGCCUCUGACUUUGUCGGCGGACGGGAGCUUAACACGUGGAUAGCCUACCUAUCCGACAGGGAUAACUUCGGGAAACCAUGGCUACGACCGGAUGAUAUAUUGAACCGCGUGGUUCAAUCGUUAAAUUCGGUUUUUCGGUCACUUAUAGCUGGCUCCGCGACGCAUUAGCUAGUGGGUAAAGUAACUGCUUACCAACGCAAGGAUGGGUAGCCGACCUAAGAGGGUGAUAGGCCACACUGGAACUGAGACACGGUCCAGACUCCUACGGGAGGGAGCAGUAGGGAAUCUCCAGGAAUGGGCGAAAGCCUGAAGAAGCAACGCCGCGUGAGUGAUGAAGGUCUUCGGAUCGUAAAACUGUGUUAUGAGGGAAGAAUAAAUGGCUCAGUAACUCUGCACGUUUUGACGGUACCCAAUAAGAAAGCCACGGCCAACUACGUG